AUAGGUUGUUUGCAUUAGAAUUCACGAAUAUGAUGCAUUGCAUAAUACGAUGAAAGUGAUGUGGAUGAAUCUUGAAUGAUCCUCUAGCCCUCAGUACGAUAUGAUAUGAUAUGAUAUGACAUGGUAUGAUAUGAGAUAGAAAGACCAGGUCACCCCUGGCACUAUGUUAUAUGUAAGCGAACACUAGGUGAGGCCUAAUCGCCCCUGGUGUAGUUGGACAUAUUAUGAUAUGAGUUAAGUAAGCGAAUACUAGGUGUGGCCUCAUCGCCCCUGGUAUAGUUGGACAUAUUACGAUAUGUAGAGGGCUAUUGGUGACAAAUUCAUCCUUGAUGUGAUAUGUUUGUGAUGUGAUGCAUUCCAUGAUAGCAUACGUUAAAAUGAACUGUUUUCUUUUAUGGUUUCUGCUCACUGGGCUUUAUAGCUCACCCCUCUCCCCUAACCCCAGGUUUGCAGGGUCA
rnacentral:lncRNA from 1 species